ACCUCUGUUCCAUUUUCAUUUCUUCUGUGGUUUGCACUUUGCAAUUCAGCUUUUAUGGUACAGCAAUUCCUUUAUUUAACUAUAUGCAUAUGUAUAUACAUGUUUUUACGCAAAAACACAAUGUAGGUAGUAUAACUUUGCAUGUGGACAUAUACCCGUAUACAUAGUUGUGUAUAGGAGCUGAAGGUAUAUAUGUUCAACUUUGAAAGGUCAUCUCUCAGGUUAGUCAUCCUAAGUGAAGCAAUGCUUGGAAGAGUUAGUUCCAAAGCAUUGUAAAUUCAUGUUAUGCAGUAUGCUAGUGAUUCACUUUAAACAUGAUAUGUAUCUGUUUCAAGCUAGCUUUUGUAUUUUUCUGAAAAAAUAUACUUCAUUUCUGCAACAUAAUUAUUUCAAUAGAAAAAGUUAACACGGGAUGAUGGUAUUAGAGAUUUGAAAAAAGUGGUUUGUCAACCAUAUUAUCAUAGUAUCUAUUUUUUCGCUGUCAUUCCUGAACCUCAUUGCUAGAAGGACCAAAACAAAAGGGUUAGGGUUUUUUAAUAGUUAUAAGUUUUAUAAUUUCGUUGUUGCCUCAUUGAAGUAUUUGGAUUACGAACUUAAGUCACUUUUUCGAAAUGUUGUUGGGAUUGUCAGGCAUAUGGUUCAAUCUAUACCACUGCUGCAAUUAAUAUUCCUGCAGCCAUAAGAUUCUUAAGUUAGCAAUACAAAAGCGCCAUAUAAAUUCCUUAUCCUUUGUUCCUCUCAUAAUUUGGAAUUAAGGCUUUACUUCUUCACAUUUGGUCCGAGGUGCCUAAUCAAUGCCUUAUUUCGAAACAUCAUAACUGCCCUGCCUUAGUUACAGGGAAGAGAAUUACACAUAAAAACUUCAGAUAUGCAUUAUGUUCUAUUUGUAUCAGCAAUACAAGUGGGAUUAAGUGGAGUUACAUAUGCAAGACAAUUUUUCUAUGCAAUAAUGUUCUAGGUAAAAAGAUGGACCUUUUUAAAUUAGGGAGCACAACAUGGACCUUGACUGGUGAGUUUCCAACUGAAUAUCAUUGAAUGAAGACCUUUUUAACAGUCCAAUUGAACUAUACAUAACUGAGUGCCCCUAAUGGAGAAACCAUGCUUUCGAUUUAGCACCAAGUAAUUUCUCUACAUGUUCAAUGUUUUGGUAAAAAUGAUUGACAUGGAAGAAAUUCCUUUGAGAGAUGUAUGUACAUGUUGUUGAAUUAAAAGACAAGAUAUUUUCAGGCUGAGCAAUUCUACUGCAGGCUCUAAUUGGCCGAAGCAAAUUUAGAUCAUAUCGCUGCUUAAUAGUUGAUCCUUUUGCUAUUGGCGGCACAGAACAACAUGAAAUUGGCAAUUCAAACAACUCGCUAAAGCCAGCAGAGCUAAGGAAUUAAAGGGAAAUGUAAUUAUCAUGAAAUUCAACCCGAAUUCAAUUUACUUUUCCUUCCAUCUCCAUUUCCUCUACUAAUGCAAUUGCAGGAAGCAACAACCCUUGAUCCAAGAACUACAAGGUACGAGCAUCUAUUGGAAUUAACUCUGCAACUUCCUUUUACCAAUGCAAUUCAGGAUCUGGAACUCUCUUCUAUUUCAGCAUCUCUCGCCAAUUGGAAAAUUUGUAUGAACCCUACGUAAGUAGCUUGGUGUAACGGGCCUGUACUGAAAAACUUUUGAUCUCAAACUGCAAAAUACUAUUCACGGAAGGAACUUAAAACAGCUAAGUCACAAGGGACUUCAACCUUUAGUUUUUAAUUUUGAAAUUACUGGCUCAAGAUGGAAGUUUUUACCAAUCCAGUGAAUUCUAUAGCGUCACAAGUAAAUGAGCAGUCCUUACUUUGCAUCUCAUUUGAGUCAUGCCUUGCUUGCUUUAGAGCUUCAGGUUGUAGCUUGGUGCAUCUUAGAGGUGAAUCAUUUUAUGUUUAUUUAGGAUGUUGGAGUUCAGCAAGAAUAACAAUACCUAUUCAAAUUCAGACGGCCCUUCAUUAUAUACAUGUUGUAACUUUUUCUUUCAUGCUAACAAAGAAUUUUGAUUAACUCUUGCAGCUUUCUUCAUCGUUUACAAUUAUCAACUUUUAGUCCCACAACUGAAAACUUCUUUACUUCGUACGAAAUAAACUGUUAACAUUUUGAUAACAUGGGGCCCCUCGAGAACCUCCUGGGAGGCAUUUAUGCCUACGGCAUGAAAAAAAAUCUAUAAUUCUUGCUGUUCAUUCAAUGGUUACAGUUUUGAUCUGCUCUAUAAACCUUUUUUUUACUUCAUCUGCAGGUUCUGAGAAGCCAUCAACUUGAUGUGAGCCAGCAAUCUCAGUCUGGAAUGAAGAAAAUAGCUACGUUCUGUUUAGGGAUUUUGCAGAAGCUAGAUUAUGGAUUGGUUGCGUGCCAGGCAUUUUUCUUGCUCUAACCCAUGAGCUUGCACGGCAAAUUGAGAAGGUCAUGUGCAUUGUGGUUUGUUCUCCCCAGCUCUGUUCUUUCCAAAAUUGCCUUUUUUUCAGGUCCAACCCGUUUUCAUGCUAUAAUCGGAGCACAUUUUCUUCCAAUAUGGCUGCAGCAGUAUGCUUGAAUCUGUGACAAACACCCGCUAUCUCCAAAUCCAGAACCUGAAUACAUGCUCCAAACUCUACAUAUAACAUGCUAUUCUCGAGCUCGCCAAGACACUAACCCUUACUAUUGUUUCUCUUAUACGGCUUUCCAUGCACAGGGGUAACAAAAUUUCCUUUCUUGUUGUGCUCUUUUUUCUUCAGAUAGGGGAUAGCCUUCUUACAAGCCACACGACCAGGCUUGUAGCAAGGGUGCCACUGGUGAUGAUUGGUUGCAGUACUGUAGCAGGUAUCAGCAAAGGGCUCAAGGGCAAUAACAGUAAGCCAUGUGUCUUCUGUUACAUCCUUCGUUCAGGAUUACAACUUCCAACCGACGUGGAAAAAAAUGUGUAUUUAGAUUCCUAUUAGAAAACUAAACAAAACCUCUGUAUGUGUUCCUACCUACCUCUGUAUGUGUUCCUACUUCAAUGCCCGGUAUAAAAACUACAUUACAACUAUCAAUAAAAUAUAUAUGUACGUGCUCGUUGUUCAUAA